rnacentral:rRNA from 1 species
GACGAACGCUGGCGGCGUGCUUAACACAUGCAAGUCGAACGGAAAGGCCCUGCUUUUGUGGGGUGCUCGAGUGGCGAACGGGUGAGUAACACGUGAGUAACCUGCCCUUGACUUUGGGAUAACUUCAGGAAACUGGGGCUAAUACCGGAUAGGAGCUCCUGCUGCAUGGUGGGGGUUGGAAAGUUUCGGCGGUUGGGGAUGGACUCGCGGCUUAUCAGCUUGUUGGUGGGGUAGUGGCUUACCAAGGCUUUGACGGGUAGCCGGCCUGAGAGGGUGACCGGCGAUAGGGGAGGGAGAGGGGGGCCAAACGUCCGACGGGAGGGAGGGGGGGAGAAUAGUAAAGAGGGGGGGGAAGCGGGAUGCGACAGCGCGGGGGGGGGGAAGAGGGCGGGGGGGGUGAAAACGGCUUUCGCCGGAGAAGAGGGGGGGGGGAGGGGAGUGGAAAAAGAAGCACCGGCUAACUACGUG